GAUGAACGCUGGCGGCGUGCCUAAUACAUGCAAGUCGAGCGAACAGAUAAGGAGCUUGCUCCUUUGACGUUAGCCGCGGACGGGUGAGUAACACGUGGGUAACCUACCUAUAAGACUGGGAUAACUUCGGGAAACCGGAGCUAAUACCGGAUAAUAUUUCGAACCGCAUGGUUCGAUAGUGAAAGAUGGUUUUGCUAUCACUUAUAGAUGGACCCGCGCCGUAUUAGCUAGUUGGUAAGGUAACGGCUUACCAAGGCGACGAUACGUAGCCGACCUGAGAGGGUGAUCGGCCACACUGGAACUGAGACACGGUCCAGACUCCUACGGGAGGCAGCAGUAGGGAAUCUUCCGCAAUGGGCGAAAGCCUGACGGAGCAACGCCGCGUGAGUGAUGAAGGUCUUCGGAUCGUAAAACUCUGUUAUUAGGGAAGAACAUACGUGUAAGUAACUGUGCACGUCUUGACGGUACCUAAUCAGAAAGCCACGGCUAACUACGUG
rnacentral:rRNA from 1 species